UACGUAGGGGGCGAGCGUUGUCCGGAUUUAUUGGGCGUAAAGAGCGUGUAGGCGGCCAGGUAGGUCUGCUGUGAAAACUCGAGGCUCAACCUCGAGACGUCGGCGGAAACCAUCUGGCUAGAGUUCGGAAGAGGAGAGUGGAAUUCCUGGUGUAGCGGUGAAAUGCGCAGAUAUCAGGAAGAACACCCGUGGCGAAGGCGGCUCUCUGGGACGGUACUGACGCUGAGACGCGAAAGCGUGGGGAGCGAACAGG
rnacentral:rRNA from 1 species